rnacentral:rRNA from 1 species
AUUGAACGCUGGCGGAAUGCUUUACACAUGCAAGUCGAGCGGCAGCACGGGGGCAACCCUGGUGGCGAGCGGCGAACGGGUGAGUAAUACAUCGGAACAUGCCCAGUCGUGGGGGAUAACACUUCGAAAGAAGUGCUAAUACCGCAUACGUCCUGAGGGAGAAAGCGGGGGAUCUUCGGACCUCGCGCGAUUGGAGUGGCCGAUGUCAGAUUAGCUAGUUGGUGGGGUAAAGGCCUACCAAGGCAACGAUCUGUAGCUGGUCUGGGAGGAUGGUAAGCCACACUGGGACUGAGAAGCGGCCCAGACUCCUACGGGAGGAAGCAGUGGGGAAUUUUGGACAAUGGGGGCAACCCUGAUCCAGCCAUUCCGCGUGAGUGAAGAAGGCCUUCGGGUUGUAAAGCUCUUUCGGCAGGAACGAAACGGCGAGCUCUAACAUAGCUUGCUAAUGACGGUACCUGAAGAAGAAGCACCGGCUAACUACGUGCCAGCCGCCGCGGUAAUAC